rnacentral:tRNA from 1 species
GAGGCUAUAGCUCAGUGGUAGAGCGCCUGCUUAGCAUGCAGGAGGUCCUGGGGAUUGAACCCAGGACCUCC